rnacentral:lncRNA from 1 species
AUUGUUUGUUCGUCUACGUGUGUGUGUGUGUGUGUGUGUGUGUGUGUGUGUGUGUGUGUGUGUGUGUGUGUGUGUGUGUGUGUGUGUGUGUGUGUGUGUGUGUGUGUGUGUGUGUUUGGCAGUGUUUACAACAUGUUAUUGUACAAAACAGAAAGCCUAUUCAUGAUCAUUAUUCAUAGAAUGAUAUUCACCAACACAACAAUGACUUUCUGUGACUCAAAACCUCACCAUCAUACUGUUCAAAGACACAAUGAUCAGCUGACUAUUUCUCUUUACAAGAAUAUCUGGUCCUAAAUAGUUUAAUUGUAUAACGUUUGAUAAAUUAACAGUCAUAGGCUCUAUUCUUUUUAAAGUUGUGACCAACACAUAUUCCUAAAUGUGACACAGUAUUCCCAUCAUUUGAAAUGACUCACACAGUAUUUCCUUCGUCUCUCUCUCGCUCUCCACAUGAAAGGGCCCAACCAUCCAUGAGAGGAGGAGGGGAGAGGAAGAGAGAGAGAAGUAGGGGGAGGAGAGGAGAGGGAGAGGAGAGGGAGAGGGAGAGGAGAGGGAGAGGGAGAGAGGGAGAGGGAGAGAGAAUGGAGAGAGGGAGAGAGAAUGGAGAGGAUAGGAGAAGGGGAGGAGAGGAGAGGAGAAGGGGAGGAGAAGAGGAGGGGAGAGUAAGAGAGAGAAGUAGAGGAGAGGAGAAGAGAAGUAGAAGGUAGGAGAGAGAAGUAGAUGAGAGGAGAGGAGAAGUAGAAGGUAGGAGAGAGAAGUAGAUGAGAGGAGAGGAGAAGUAGAAGGUAGGAGAGAGAAGUAGAUGAGAGGAGAGGAGAAGUAGAAGGUAGGAGAGAGAAGUAGAUGAGAGGAGAGAGAAGUAGAUGAGAGGAGAAGUAGAAGGUAGGAGAGAGAAGUAGAAGGUAGGAGAGAGAAGUAGAUGAGAGGAGAAGUAGAAGGUAGGAGAGAGAAGUAGAUGAGAGGAGAAGAGAGGAGAGGAGAGAGAAGUAGAGGGGAAAGGAAGAGAGAAGUAGAGGAGAGGAGAGAGAGAAGUAGAAGGUAGGAGAGGAGAUGAGAGAGAAGUAGAAGGUAGGAGAGGAGAGGAGAGAUAAGUAGAGGGGAAAGGAAGAGAGGGAGAGGAGAG